UACGUAGGGGGCAAGCGUUGUCCGGAUUUACUGGGCGUAAAGCGCACGCAGGCGGUCUCUUAAGUUUGGAGUGACAGUUGGUGGCUUAACCGCCAAAGUGCUUCGAAAACUGAGAGACUUGAGGGCUUCAGAGGGACACGGAAUUCCGGGUGGAGUGGUGAAAUGCGUAGAGAUCCGGAGGAACACCAAAGGCGAAGGCAUUGUCCUGGGGAGUACCUGACGCUCAGGUGCGAAAGCCAGGGGAGCGAACGGG
rnacentral:rRNA from 1 species